rfam:Oryctolagus cuniculus chromosome 7, whole genome shotgun sequence.
GCUGAAAUUGCUCAGUUGGGAGAGCAUUAGAUUGAAGAUCCAAAGUUACCUGGUUCAAUCCCAGGUUUCAGCA